ACGUUCAUUUGAGUGCUAAAAUUUCACCGUCGAAGAUGGCCUCAUCGUCGAAGCGUGCACGGGUGAGCUUUAUCUCCGCAGAGAUUGCUUUAGAAAAAAAUAUUUUAUGAUGAAGACACCGCUGAUGGGAUGGACAGUGGAGAAGAAAGUGAUUUAGACCGGCAGAUCGAGCGAGGGAGAAGUUGAAGAUGACGAUCGGCCGGAGGAGGCUUGCGCUUCGACUUAGGAACCCAUGGCUCCUGAUUUUCAGGAAAUGUUGCUGAAAAGAUUUUCAGGAAAUGUUGCUGACAUGUCAAUAAUUAACUUCUGUUGUCAAUUAAUCUUGAGUAACCUAUACCUGUGAGGAAAAGUGACUUUUGACCUCAAGUUUUACACUAUGUCUUACUUAUUUUGUGUUUUAAAUUUUACUUUUUAGGAAAGUCCUGGGUUUCAAUAAUGAAUUUUUUUUUUCCUGAGAAGCCCAUUCUAUACACUUUAAAAUGACAUAUUGUAGGUGUUAUUCCUGUAAAUAUUUGUUGAGAUAUGAAUUAAAAACUGA